rnacentral:rRNA from 1 species
AGGGAGCAGAACAACAGGGAUUGCCCCAGUAACGGCGAGUGAAGCGGCAACAGCUCAAAUUUGAAAUCUGGCCCCCAGGGCCCGAGUUGUAAUUUGCAGAGGAUGCUUUUGGCGACGCGCCUUCCGAGUUCCCUGGAACGGGACGCCAUAGAGGGUGAGAGCCCCGUCUGGUCGGACGCCGAGCCUCUGUAAAGCUCCUUCGACGAGUCGAGUAGUUUGGGAAUGCUGCUCUAAAUGGGAGGUAUAUGUCUUCUAAAGCUAAAUACCGGCCAGAGACCGAUAGCGCACAAGUAGAGUGAUCGAAAGAUGAAAAGCACUUUGAAAAGAGGGUUAAAUAGUACGUGAAAUUGUUGAAAGGGAAGCGCUCACGACCAGACUUGAGCCCGGUGAAUCACCCAGCGUUCUCGCUGGUGCACUUCGCCGGGCCCAGGCCAGCAUCGGUUCGCCGCGGGGGAGAAAGGCGUCGGGAACGUGGCUCCCUCGGGAGUGUUAUAGCCCGUCGCACAAUACCCUGGGGCGGACCGAGGUUCGCGCAUCUGCAAGGAUGCUGGCGUAAUGGUCGUCAGCGACCCGUCUUGAAACACGGACCAAGGAGUCGUCUUCGUAUGCGAGUGUUCGGGUGUAAAACCCCUACGCGUAAUGAAAGUGAACGCAGGUGAGAGCUUCGGCGCAUCAUCGACCGAUCCUGAUGUUCUCGGAUGGAUUUGAGUAAGAGCAUACGGGGCCGGACCCGAAAGAAGGUGAACUAUGCCUGUGUAGGGUGAAGCCAGAGGAAACUCUGGUGGAGGCUCGCAGCGGUUCUGACGUGCAAAUCGAUCGUCAAACAUGGGCAUGGGGGCGAAAGACUAAUCGAACCUUCUAGUAGCUGGUUUCCGCCGAAUUCCCCCUCCCAGAAAGA